GCUUAUUCUCAGGGCGGGGUGCAAUUCCCCACCGGCGGUAAACCUGGCUAAAUUAUUGCACAGGAAGUCCGCGAGCGCUCAGAUUGCUUGCAAUCUGAGGUCAGCAGAUCCGGUGUAAUUCCGGGGCCGACGGUGAUAGUCCGGAUGGGAGAGAGUAACG
rfam:Sodalis sp. TME1 V4_final_sodalis.fa.Contig268, whole genome shotgun sequence.